CCACAUGUAUUGCUUCUCACACCAAUGUUUGCAGCUCCAAGUAUGAGAGGUCCACCCACAGCAGCAACAUAAGCAUAACCACCACAAACUCUUGAACAGACAGUCAUUCUGAAUCAGAGAUUUCUUCUUCAUACUCGUCCAGUAUGUAGAUCAGGGCCCACUUUCUUGCAGCUAAAACACAAGCCACACCUCUACCUCCCAUUGCCAAAAAAAAGAUCAACUUGAUUUCAGUCCAGUGUUCCUUGAAUGUAUGGCCAUAACUAACAUGAUGUUUAGAUACCUUUGUUGGGUAAAAGUAAUAUUACAACGCAUGCAUUACGCUAAAACACAGGCAGGAAGCAAACCUUAAUUGCCUAAAGAGGCUACAGCUUGCAUGUAACUAUGAAUGCUCCACAGUAUCUUGCUACACUAGAUGCCAUGAUAGUAUCUAUGGUCAUGAACUUGUAAAUAGUGGUUCUCAGUCAGUAACUCAAGACUGCUAUGCACCUCCCAUGAGAGAAUGAUUAUUCAUUUUGUAUUUGUCUGGUGACUAUUAAAUCAUUUCGCACUUUGUCCUCUCAAUUGAUUUAAAAUUUAGGGGAAAACUAAUACUUCAUUUUUUUUACUUCUUCGACUAAAAAAUAUUCUUCUUUGGAGCAUAUUUUUGCACUUCUUCAAUCUAUAGGGACAAACAUGAAGUGGUCUGUUAAAGAGGCACAGUGUACCUAAGCCAGUCACAUUUGAACUUAAUAGAAGGUUCUAAGUGGAAAUGUAGUAAGGAGCAUGGACAGGAUUAAUUCAAUUCCAAUACCCAGCCAACGAGAUAAAUUUGUUACCGACACUGGCAAGUUUAUUAAACAUUGAUCACUAAGGAAAGAGUAUGGGCAACAAUAAGUUUCCAGACAUCCAAAACUGCAAAUGGACAUGGCAAGAAGCCCAAAGAAAAACACUUCAGAACUAUACAAUUGAUGGCAUAGCAAUGAAUUGAUCCUUAGCUUGAUGGUAUGACUGUCAAAAUGUUCUUACCACCAACUGACAAGGGAGAACUACAGGACGGGGAAUGCUGCGAAGCUUCUCAUUCUCCAUCUCCAAG
rnacentral:lncRNA from 1 species